rnacentral:rRNA from 1 species
CACGUAGGGGGGCAAGCGUUGUCCGGAAUCAUUGGGCGUAAAGAAGCUCGUAGGCGGCUCAGUAAGUCGGGUGUGAAACCCUCAGGCUCAACCUGGGGACGCCACCCGAUACUGCUGUGGCUAGAGUCCAGUAGGGGAGUGUGGAAUUCCCGGUGUAGCGGUGAAAUGCGCAGAUAUCAGGAGGAACACCGGUGGCGAAGGCGGGUCUCUGGGCCGGAACUGACGCUAAGGAGCGAAAGCGUGGGGAGCGAACAGG